rnacentral:piRNA from 1 species
UAGCACAGGGCAGAUCAGACGGUGUCUC